rnacentral:lncRNA from 1 species
AGACUUCACGAGGCCCGCAGACUUUUGACAGAACUGAAGUUUAGUAACGUUGUAGCAAAGGCAUUCAUGUACAAUCCUGUAAUUGAUAGGUUUUGCAAAGCUGGCAAUGUCGAUGAGGCAAAUGUCAUUGCAAAAGAGAUGGAAGAGACGUUUACCAUACUUAUUAUCGGCCACUGUAUGAAAGGUAGACUGUCUGACGCAACCGGUCUUCUCAAUAAGAUGCUGACCAUCGGUUGCUCUCCUGAUAACAUUACCAUUAGUUCAUUGACAUCCCGCCUUUUGAAAGCCGGGUUACCUACCGAAGCAUUCCGAGCAGUGUUAUGGAAGGCGUGAUUAGGCGUCCGCCUAGGCGGGAAAAACCCCAAGGCACCAGCAAAACGCCUCGCCUCGGGCAAGGCGAUAAAAUAAGGCGGCCGACCGAGGAAUGACUAAGGAAUCGCGCGAAAUCGAUGAGGAAUCGAUUCCCGCGACACCGAGGCGGCGAAAUCUGCUAUUAGACGUUAAAACUAAGAAUAAAAAACACAUAGUUUGCCCUAAAUUGAAAGAUUUUGUGUGAUCACCUAGUAACCUACGAGUUUGACAUCGCCUUUAUAGCUUACUUAUCAUUUUGUUAUGUUUGUUAUGUUUGUUAUGUUUGUUUUCUUAUAUAUGAUGAGGCAAAUGUCAUUGCAAAAGAGAUGGAAGAGAAAAAGUGCGUUCCCGACAAAGUGACGUUUACCAUACUUAUUAUCGGCCACUGUAUGAAAGGUAGAAUGUCUGACGCAACCGGUCUUCUCAAUAAGAUGCUGACCAUCGGUUG